rnacentral:rRNA from 1 species
CCUCAAAUCAGGUAGGACUACCCGCUGAACUUAAGCAUAUCAAUAAGCGGAGGAAAAGAAACUAACAAGGAUUCCCCUAGUAACUGCGAGUGAAGAGGGAAGAGCUCAAAUUUUAAAUCUGGCGGUCUUCAUGGUCGUC